UAACUACUUGUUAUAAAGCGUAAACAUUACGUACACGCAUGCGUAUUAACAUGUUCCGUUGUUUACGAUGUUCAUGAUUCUUUGUCGGUAAUAUCCAAUCGUGUUCCAUCUCACCAGUGCACAUGAUUCAAUUUCACAUGGUACGUGAUCUCGAAAUUGAACGAUUUCUGUCAUUUUUCAAGAUUCAAAUAAAUUUUCCAUUCAAGUAAAAAUAUGUGGAACGUUCGAUGCCUCACACGAAAUGUAUGCGUGAUAAAACAAUUAUUUAAAAUUAAUUGUCACACCGAAAACCUUAAACAAGGAGAACCUUUUGUGCGUCCCAUUAUUUAACCUUGAAUUAUGGAUACACGUGCUACAUGAAGAAUCGUUCGAAGAUCGUUCUUGCUCCUUUCACCUCAGCUGCUUAUGAAUCGACCAGUUUGUCAAAAAAUUUAUCUGCCGGAAUCAAAUAAUAUCAAAACUUACUAUAUGAAAUUGUUUUCAUUUUUGAAAACUGGACUAAUGUUAACACGCGGAAUAAAUUUGUGGACAUUCUUCACACUUCGCGAAACAAGAGAUCCAGUAAAGUGAUAAUCGCAUUUGGAUGAGUCACCAAUGAUUGAAAAAAAAA